GAGUUUGAUCAUGGCUCAGAUUGAACGCUGGCGGUAACUUUUAAACAUGCAAGUCGAGCGGUAACAGACAUAAAGAUUCAGCUUGCUGAAUCCGGUGCUGACGAGCGGCGAACGGGUGAGUAACGCGUAGGAAUCUACCCAGUAGCGGGGGAUAGCCCGAGGAAACUCGGAUUAAUACCGCAUACGCCCUGAGGGGGAAAGGGGGCAAUUUAUUGCUCUCACUAUUGGAUGAGCCUGCGUAAGAUUAGCUUGUUGGUAGGGUAAUGGCCUACCAAGGCAACGAUCUUUAGCUGGUCUGAGAGGACGAUCAGCCACAUUGGGACUGAGACACGGCCCAGACAUCUACGGAUGGCAGCAGUUAAGAAUAUUGGACAAUGGGGGCAACCCUGAUCCAGGUAUACCGCGUGUGUGAAGAAGGCCCUAGGGUUGUAAAGCACUUUAAUCAGAGAAGAAGCAUUUUAAGUUAAUACCUUAAUAUGCUGACGUUAACUGAAGAAUAAGGACCGGCUAACUCCGUGCCAGCAGCCGCGGUAAUACGGAGGGUCCAAGCGUUAAUCGGAAUUACUGGGCGUAAAGCGCGCGUAGGCGGUUUAGCAAGUUGUAUGUGAAAGCCCUGGGCUCAACCUAGGAACUGCAUCCAAAACUACUAAGCUAGAGUACGAGAGAGGAGAGUAGAAUUUCUGGUGUAGCGGUGAAAUGCGUAGAUAUCAGAAGGAAUACCAAUGGCGAAGGCAGCUCUCUGGCUCGUCACUGACGCUGAGGUGCGAAAGCGUGGGUAGCAAACAGGAUUAGAUACCCUGGUAGUCCACGCCGUAAACGAUGACAACUAGCCGUUGGGCAGAUUUAACUGUUCAGUGGCACAGCUAACGCAUUAAGUUGUCCGCCUGGGGAGUACGGCCGCAAGGCUAAAACUCAAAUGAAUUGACGGGGGCCCGCACAAGUGGUGGAGCAUGUGGUUUAAUUCGAUGCAACGCGAAGAACCUUACCAAUCCUUGAAAUCUAGCGAAGUUCGCAGAGAUGUGAAUGUGCCUUCGGGAACGCUAUGACAGGUGUUGCAUGGCUGUCGUCAGCUCGUGUCGUGAGAUGUAUGGUUAAGUCCAGUAACGAGCGCAACCCCUAUCCUUAUUUGCCAGCGCGUAAUGGCGGGAACUAUAGGGAGACUGCCGGGUGAAACCCGGAGGAAGGCGGGGACGAGGUCAAGUCAUCAUGGCCCUUAUGGAUUGGGCUACACACGUGCUACAAUGGGAAGUACAGAGGGAUGCGAAAGCGCGAGCUGAAGCCAAACCCUUAAAACUUUUCUUAGUCCGGAUUGGAGUCUGCAACUCGACUCCAUGAAGUCGGAAUCACUAGUAAUCGCGAAUCAGAAUGUCGCGGUGAAUACGUUCUCGGGCCUUGUACACACCGCCCGUCACAUCAUGGAAGUGGGUUGCACCAGAAGUGGUUAGUCUAACCUUCGGGAAGACGAUCACCACGGUGUGAUUCAUGACUGGGAUGAAGUCGUAACAAGGUAACC
rnacentral:rRNA from 1 species